rnacentral:misc_RNA from 1 species
UAAUCUGAAGACUGAAUUAUAGGUUCAUGUAGAAUAUGAUCAUAAAGAAACCAUAUCGCAACAAGGUAUUUUUAACACAGAUUUGCAAACUACAUCACCAGAAAUUAAAGUCUCGACAAAAGUUCAGAGAAGAAUUAUUGCAAUCAUCUCAGCUCACCUUCACUUCGACUAGCCAGACUUAGCAAAGUUCUGUGAAGCUAUCAACACCCUGUCCUGCUGCCGCAGCUUCUCACCCUCGCGGAUCAAAUACUCCUGGAACUUCUCCUUUCCACCGAAGAGGAAGGUCGAGGCGAGAACGGCGGAGCCGAUCCCGCCCCAGAUCACCACCGUCGAGGUCAGCAAGGACCAUCUCCUGUAGAUCAUCUCGAUCGUCUCUCACUCUCGAUCUCUCGAUCUCGAUCUUGA